AUUGAACGCUGGCGGCAUGCCUUACACAUGCAAGUCGAACGGCAGCACGGGGGCAACCCUGGUGGCGAGUGGCGAACGGGUGAGUAACAUAUCGGAACAUACCCUAGAGUGGGGGAUAACGUAGCGAAAGUUACGCUAAUACCGCAUACGAUCUAAGGAUGAAAGUGGGGGAUCUUCGGACCUCAUGCUCAUGGAGUGGCCGAUAUCUGAUUAGCUAGUUGGUGAGGUAAAGGCUCACCAAGGCGACGAUCAGUAGCUGGUUUGAGAGAACGACCAGCCACACUGGAACUGAGACACGGUCCAGACACCUACGGGAGGCAGCAGUGGGGAAUUUUGGACAAUGGGGGCAACCCUGAUCCAGCAU
rnacentral:rRNA from 1 species